rnacentral:lncRNA from 1 species
GUUAUGAUCCAGACGGACCCGGAGAGAAGGGCCGCCCUGGCCUGGAUCACACUGUGCCGAGCCUGGCAUCCCCGGGCACCCAGAGCUCACCCCUAGACGCAGUGCAGGAGACCCAGGUUUGAUCCCUGGGUUGGGAAGAUCCCCUGGAGAAGGAAAUGGCAGCCCACUCCAGUAUUCUUGCCUGGAGAAUCCCAUGGAUGGAGGAGCCUGGUGGGUUACAGUCCACGGGGUCGCAAAGAGUCGGAUACAACUGAGAGACUUCACUUUCACUUUCUUUCACAGGACGGAAGGGAGCGCCGUGCCCCCCACAGCAAGGGGCAGGGGGAGGCCCAGGAGAGACCCCGUCCCGAGCCGGGGAGAGGGAGGCAGCCUGAGGGCCUGGGCGCAUCCUGGCUCCUCCAAUUCCUGCCGCCGGUCCUCAGACGGGACACCCAGCUCGCCGUCUCCCGAAGGACACGCUCGUCUUCCUCUCGGGCGGUGGGGGCUUCAGGCUGCAGCUGGUUCCCCAGAUGGCAGCUCGCCCACCUUCCUGUGGGAAACCUGACUGGAGACACAGGCGCCUGGCUCACGCGGAGCCCGCAGAGGGCGGUGUGAGCGGAGGCUUCCCCACAGGAGCCCCAGCGCCAGCCCUGCGUGGCAGGCAGGACAGCCCCCCGCUGGACGCCCACCUCCUACUCUCCCAAACCUGAGACUCGGGUCACGCUGCAACAGGAGCUACGGCGGAAGGUGGACCCAGUGGCUGAGAUGGGAAACGACCCUGGAUUAUCCCGGCGGCUCCAGUGUGAUCGGAAGGAAACCUCACGGUGGAGGGGGGACGGGAGAGCCAGUGUCUGUGACUCAGCGUGAGAGAGGCCAUCGCUGGCUGUGGACGGAUGGAGGGGCCGUGAGCCAAGGAAUGCGGGUGGUCUCCAGAAGGUGGGAAAGGCAGGAAGCGGGUUCUCCCCCCCUGGAGCCUCUGGAAGGACGCAGCGCUGCUGACACGUCAACCACAGCCUCGGGAGACCCCUGUGGACCCCUGACCCCCAGACUGUAGGGUAAUAAAUGUGUGUUGUUUUAAGCCA